GGCUCCGUGGUGUUAGCAUGUCGAAUUGCAAAUUCGAAGAAGCAGCUUCAAUUCUGCCGGGGCUU
rnacentral:tRNA from 1 species